rnacentral:rRNA from 1 species
CCUGGUUGAUCCUGCCAGUAGUCAUAUGCUUGUCUCAAAGAUUAAGCCAUGCAUGUGUAAGCACACACUGUUUUAAAAGUGAAGCCGCGAAUGGCUCAUUACAACAGCCACAGUUAUUAGAACUUACAAUCAUGGAUAACUGUGGUAAUUCUAGAGCUAAUACACGCACAAAAACUUCAACUGAAUUGGUUGAAGUGCUUUUAUUAGAACAAAAACCGAACGGCGUUUGGCGAAUGUUGAACGUCGAAACUGUUUGGUGAAUCUGAAUAACUAUUUCUGAUCGCAUGGUCUAGCACCGGCGACAUCACUUUCAAGUGUCUGCCUUAUCAACCUUCGAUGGUAGUCUAUGCGACUACCAUGGUGAUAACGGGUAACGGAGAAUCAGGGUUCGACUCCGGAGAGGGAGCCUGAGAAACGGCUACCACAUCCAAGGAAGGCAGCAGGCGCGCAAAUUACCCACUCCCAGCUUGGGGAGGUAGUGACGAAAAAUAACGAGACGAUUCUCGUUUGAGAAACGUUAUCGAAAUGAGUACGCUUUACACACGCUAACGAGUAGCAAUUGGAGGGCAAGUCUGGUGCCAGCAGCCGCGGUAAUUCCAGCUCCAAUAGCGUAUAUUAAAGUUGCUGCGGUUAAAACGCUCGUAGUUGAAUUGUGGUCUUAGACAACAGUCCCCCUACAUAGGUGUGGCACGGUUGCUCGAGAUCUUCAUUCGUGGUUGCUGUUGUUGCUCUUCAUUGAGUGUCAAUGGUGCCUCGAGAUUUUACUUUGAAAAAAUUAGAGUGCUCAAAGCAGGUUGUGAUGCCUGAAUAUGGUGCAUGGAAUAAUAGAAUACGAUCUCGGUUCUAUUUUGUUGGUUUUCGAACCGGAGAUAAUGAUUGAAAGGAACAGACGGGGGCAUUCGUAUUGCUGCGUUAGAGGUGAAAUUCUUGGAUCGCAGCAAGAUGAACAAUUGCGAAAGCAUUUGCCAAGAAUUUUCAUUAAUCAAGAACGAAAGUUAGAGGUUCGAAGGCGAUCAGAUACCGCCCUAGUUCUAACGGUAAACUAUGCCAACCAGCGAUUCGCCGAAGUUCAUUUAAGACUCGGCGAGCAGCUUCCGGGAAACCAAAGUGUUUCGGUUCCGGGGAAGUAUGGUUGCAAAGCUGAAACUUAAAGGAAUUGACGGAAGGGCACCACCAGGAGUGGAGCCUGCGGCUUAAUUUGACUCAACACGGGAAAACUCACCCGGCCCGGACACUGGAAGGAUUGACAGAUUGACAGCUCUUUCUUGAUUCAGUGGGUAGUGGUGCAUGGCCGUUCUUAGUUGGUGGAGCGAUUUGUCUGGUUAAUUCCGAUAACGAACGAGACUCUACCCUAUUAAAUAGUGACAGUAUUGUAUUUUUUGUGCUGAUCACUUCUUAGAGGGACUGGCAAAUUGAAAGCUGCACGAAAAAGAGCAAUAACAGGUCUGUGAUGCCCUUCGAUGUCCGGGGCUGCACGCGCGCUACAAUGAAAGCGUCAACGUGAGUUACGUCCUUACCUGAAAAGGUUUGGCAAUCGAAUGAAACGUUUUCUUGAAUGGAAUAGGGAAUUGCAAUUGUUUCCCUUGAACGAGGAAUUCCCAGUAAGCGUGAGUCAUUAGCUCGCGUUGAUUACGUCCCUGCCCUUUGUACACACCGCCCGUCGCUACUACCGAUUGGAUGAUUUAGAGGUGUUUUGACUGGCGCCAGUAGUCGGAUGUAUUCGGCUUCGCGCCGGGAAAUUUCCCAAACCAAAUCAUCUAGAGGAAGUAAAAGUCGUAACAAGGUUUCCGUAGGUGAACCUGCGGAAG